rnacentral:lncRNA from 1 species
AGUUGGUUUAUUUUAUUUUAUUAGGUUCUCAUUGUGAUUUCGCUGCUGCUACUUAUCAUGUAUGUGUGUUCUGUUGAUAUGCUUUUUUGAUGUGAAGUUAAAACGUAUAUUUUUGGCUUUGCUCAAUUUUAACCUUGUUUUGCUUCUUGUUGCAGAAUCCUUUUGGCCAUGUUUGGAUAGUCUCAUUUUGAGUUUACUUUUGUAUUCUCUCUCAUCAUUCAUGUUCCAUGUUCAAUGUAGGUAUUACUUCAUGGAGGAUGGUGGUUGAACCAAGGCAACAUGAUGACCAAUUUGGAUUAUAAAGCAUGAUGUGCUCGAGGUAAUCCAAAGAAUCAAGAUGGAAUUUGAAGAUUAGGAUUAAGAUUAGAAUGGGGAUUUAGGGAUUUAGGAUGAAAAAAGGGUUAGGGUUGACUUUGGUCAAAGUUGACCAAAAAGUCAAUUGUUUACCAAAGUCAACAUUUUGUCAUAAUAUUUUUUGCAUUUUUUUGAUGCAAUGAACAUUGUAACGGGUUGUAAUGAUGGAAUUUGCUUAUAUUUGAAUGAAAUUGAAUUGGUAUUGAAUUGAAUCUUGUAUAUGAAA